GACGAACGCUGGCGGCGUGCCUAAUACAUGCAAGUCGAACGCACUCUCGUUUAGAUUGAAGGAGUUUGCUCCUGAUUGAUAAACAUUUGAGAGAGUGGCGGACGGGUGAGUAACACGUGGGUAACCUGCCCUAAAGUGGGGGAUAACAUUUGGAAACAGAUGCUAAUACCGCAUAAAACCUAACACCGCAUGGUGUAGGGUUGAAAGAUGGUUUCGGCUAUCACUUUAGGAUGGACCCGCGGUGCAUUAGUUAGUUGGUGAGGUAAAGGCUCACCAAGACCGUGAUGCAUAGCCGACCUGAGAGGGUAAUCGGCCACACUGGGACUGAGACACGGCCCAGACUCCUACGGGAGGCAGCAGUAGGGAAUCUUCCACAAUGGACGAAAGUCUGAUGGAGCAACGCCGCGUGAGUGAAGAAGGUUUUCGGAUCGUAAAACUCUGUUGUUGGAGAAGAAUGUAUCUGAUAGUAACUGAUCAGGUAGUGACGGUAUCCAACCAGAAAGCCACGGCUAACUACGUG
rnacentral:rRNA from 1 species